rnacentral:lncRNA from 11 species
CUGGCACCUACAAUGCAUGGCACUCGGUUUUCCUUCAUUUUUUUACAAUAUUAAUUGUCUUCCUUUCUGCAGAAUUGCUACCGGAGAAAAAACGAUGAUUGGGCAGUACAGUGGGCCCUUGGUAUUCACUAAGGAUUGAUUCCAGAAACCAUUGUGGAUAUCAUAAUUUGUGGAUUAAUAGUCCCAUUGCUGCCCUACCGUAAGUUAUGAAGCUAUUUUAUUUAUAUCCAAGGACAGGACCAAAGGACCGAUCCCUCUGAUGUAGUUUGAUCAUGGAAUGUUUCCUCCAAUUUCCAUUUUUUUCCUAGUUGUUAUUAAUGACAGCAUAAUUUUGAAAUGGGUCAGAAAGAAAAAUUAUGCAAGCAAAAACUGAGUAUUUCCUAUAAGCUGUGUUUAUGAACCCAAGGAGAAAGAAUCAUUCAUUGACUCUGUUGCCAUAGAUAUCAAAUUUACUAAUG